rnacentral:siRNA from 1 species
UGUGGACAAUUAAAUUCUAGCCC